rnacentral:rRNA from 1 species
UGACCUAAACCCUCACCAGAGUAACAAUUGGAGGGCAAGUCUGGUGCCAGCAGCCGCGGUAAUUCCAGCUCCAAUAGCGUAUAUUAAACUUGUUGCAGUUAAAAAGCUCGUAGUUGAAUUUCUGCGUUAUCGAGUUAUUGACUCUUGUCUUUAAUCGAUUUCGCUUUUGGGAUUUAUCCCUUUUUACUUUGAGAAAAUUAGAGUGUUUCAAGCAGACUUUUGUCUUGAAUACUUCAGCAUGGAAUAAUAGAGUAGGACUUUGGUUCUAUUUUGUUGGUUUUUGAACCUUAGUAAUGGUUAAUAGGAACGGUUGGGGGCAUUCGUAUUUAACUGUCAGAGGUGAAAUUCUUAGAUUUGUUAAAGACGAACUACUGCGAAAGCAUUUGCCAAGGACGUUUCCAUUAAUCAAGAACGAAAGUUAGGGG